GAUGAACGCUGGCGGCGUGCCUAAUACAUGCAAGUCGAGCGAACAGACGAGGAGCUUGCUCCUCUGACGUUAGCGGCGGACGGGUGAGUAACACGUGGAUAACCUACCUAUAAGACUGGGAUAACUUCGGGAAACCGGAGCUAAUACCGGAUAAUAUAUUGAACCGCAUGGUUCAAUAGUGAAAGACGGUUUUGCCGUCACUUAUAGAUGGAUCCGCGCCGCAUUAGCUAGUUGGUAAGGUAACGGCUUACCAAGGCAACGAUGCGUAGCCGACCUGAGAGGGUGAUCGGCCACACUGGAACUGAGACACGGUCCAGACUCCGACGGGAGGCAGCAGUAGGGAAUCUUCCGCGAUGGGCGAAAGCCUGACGGAGCAACGCCGCGUGAGUGAUGAAGGUCUUCGGAUCGUAAAACUCUGUUAUUAGGGAAGAACAAAUGUGUAAGUAACUAUGCACGUCUUGACGGUACCUAAUCAGAAAGCCACGGCUAACUACGUG
rnacentral:rRNA from 1 species